GGCUCGGUGGCACGGUGGUUAGCACUGCUGCCUCACCACAAGGUCGUGGGUUCGAAUCCAGCCUAGGGCCU